rnacentral:rRNA from 1 species
AGUGAACGCUGGCGGUAGGCCUAACACAUGCAAGUCGAACGGCAGCACAGUAAGAGCUUGCUCUUACGGGUGGCGAGUGGCGGACGGGUGAGGAAUACAUCGGAAUCUACUUUUUCGUGGGGGAUAACGUAGGGAAACUUACGCUAAUACCGCAUACGACCUACGGGUGAAAGCAGGGGAGCUUCGGACCUUGCGCGAUUGAAUGAGCCGAUGUCGGAUUAGCUAGUUGGCGGGGUAAAGGCCCACCAAGGCGACGAUCCGUAGCUGGUCUGAGAGGAUGAUCAGCCACGCUGGAACUGAGCCACGGUCCAGACUCCUACGGGAGGCCGCAGUGGGGAAUAUUGGACAAAGGGCGCAAGCCUGAUCCAGCCAUACCGCGUGGGUGAAGAAGGCCUUCGGGUUGUAAAGCCCUUUUGUUGGGAAAGCAAAGCAGCAGGUUAAUACCCCGCUGUUCUGACGGUACCCAGAGAAUAAGCACCGGCUAACUUCGUG